UACGAAGGGGGCUAGCGUUGUUCGGAAUCACUGGGCGUAAAGCGCACGUAGGCGGAUCUUUAAGUCAGGGGUGAAAUCCCGAGGCUCAACCUCGGAACUGCCUUUGAUACUGGGGAUCUCGAGUCCGGGAGAGGUGGGUGGAACUGCGAGUGUAGAGGUGAAAUUCGUAGAUAUUCGCAAGAACACCAGUGGCGAAGGCGGCUCACUGGCCCGGAACUGACGCUGAGGUGCGAAAGCGUGGGGAGCAAACAGG
rnacentral:rRNA from 1 species